GGCGGCGGCGGCCGGAGCUGGAGGGGGAGGAGGGGAGGAACCUGAUCCUCGGUAGCGAAGGGCUGGAGGCAAACACCGAGCUCCCCCUGAGCCGCCUGGGAGCAGGGAGGGUUCUGCUACCCUGAGGGGCCCUCCCCGCGGGGCAGAGGGUGGGAGGAAGUCACAGCAUCUACUUCUGAAUCUGUGCUUGCCUUGAGGAAAAACGGCAUGGCACAGGAAUGUGGACGCUUUCAACCAGAGGAUUCUGUACGACGGUGUCGGCACACAAGGAGCCAAGAAUAGGACAGCUUGGGAAGGUGAGCUGCGUAUAGCUCGUCAGGCUGAGCUCAUCCUCGUCUACGGCCAAACGUUGGUUUCUCAUUUCUAGAAGAUGAAAGAUGUGAUGACUCAGGAAAAACUGGAAUCUUAGUAACUGUGGUGGGCAUUGAGCCUUGCCGUCCACAAGAGAAAGCUUGCUGCUCGAGAUGUGAGUCUUCAGAUGUUCCUGCCGCCAUAUCUGACAGCUGCUGCCAAGAUUCCCUGGUGGGAUGGACUCUUAUACCUCAACAACCAGAAGCCCAAGUAAACUCUUCUAUAAAUUGAAUGACUCAUGCUUAAAAAAAAAAACAAAAA
rnacentral:lncRNA from 1 species